GCACCUGCAAAAUCAGGUGCCGGGAUUGGCGUCCUGAAAGUGUGUGAGCAGCAGUAUGCUGCAGGCUU
rnacentral:sRNA from 1 species